rnacentral:rRNA from 1 species
GACGAACGCUGGCGGCGUGCCUAAUACAUGCAAGUUGAGCGCUGAAGGUUGGUACUUGUACCAACUGGAUGAGCAGCGAACGGGUGAGUAACGCGUGGGGAAUCUGCCUUUGAGCGGGGGACAACAUUUGGAAACGAAUGCUAAUACCGCAUAAAAACUUUAAACACAAGUUUUAAGUUUGAAAGAUGCAAUUGCAUCACUCAAAGAUGAUCCCGCGUUGUAUUGGCUAGUUGGUGGGGUAAAGGCUCACCAAGGCGAUGAUACAUAGCCGACCUGAGAGGGUGAUCGGCCACAUUGGGACUGAGACACGGCCCAAACUCCUACGGGAGGCAGCAGUAGGGAAUCUUCGGCAAUGGACGAAAGUCUGACCGAGCAACGCCGCGUGAGUGAAGAAGGUUUUCGGAUCGUAAAACUCUGUUGGUAGAGAAGAACGUUGGUGAGAGUGGAAAGCUCAUCAAGUGACGGUAACUACCCAGAAAGGGACGGCUAACUACGUG